GAAAUGAAGACACAAACAUGGUAUGCAAAUCUAUGGCUUGGCAUACAUAUGAAUAUUCAAGUACAUACAAGUCUAUGAGCAAUUAGAUGCUCUCUAAGUUCCACAUAAGACCAUAAACUGCAAGUACAAUAACUUCUUCCACCACUUUUCUAGUACCACUGCCACUAGUCCAACUACUACUAUAGUAAUACUACUACCACUGUU
rnacentral:misc_RNA from 1 species